rnacentral:rRNA from 1 species
UACAGAGGUCUCAAGCGUUGUUCGGAUUCACUGGGCGUAAAGGGUGCGUAGGCGGCGCGGAAAGUCGGAUGUGAAAUCCCGGGGCUCAACCCCGGAACUGCAUUCGAUACUUCCGCGCUGGAGGACUGGAGAGGAGACCGGAAUUCACGGUGUAGCAGUGAAAUGCGUAGAUAUCGUGAGGAAGACCAGUGGCGAAGGCGGGUCUCUGGACAGUUCCUGACGCUGAGGCACGAAGGCUGGGGGAGCAAACGCG